rnacentral:rRNA from 1 species
UACAGGAGGGGUCAAGCGUUAUCCGGAUUUAUUGGGUUUAAAGGGUGCGUAGGCGGCCUAUUAAGUCAGGGGUGAAAGACGGUGGCUCAACCAUCGCAGUGCCUUUGAUACUGAUAGGCUUGAUUACACUAGAGGUAGGCGGAAUGUGACAAGUAGCGGUGAAAUGCAUAGAUAUGUCACAGAACACCAAUUGCGAAGGCAGCUUACUAUGGUGUCAAUGACGCUGGGGCACGAAAGCGUGGGGAUCAAACAGG